AAUAAAAUGGCUGAAAUAUAGGCGAUAAAUUGUAAAUUUAUUUAUAAGAGGUUUUCUUUUUUAUUA
rnacentral:tRNA from 3 species